GCACUGCUGAGGAGUCGCAUAAUAGGACGAAACGGCCGUCCAGUGC
rfam:Schistosoma rodhaini strain Burundi genome assembly, scaffold: SROB_scaffold0006693